AGUUGCUCGAAAGGGGUCUCGCCCAGGGUGUAUUUCAAUGUAGAACCGCCACUGAGAUUAAGCAUGGUUUGCGCAUGCAUACAGAUGAAAACUCGAGAGAAAGUUCUGGAAGAGACCGAACGCAGCUGAAGUCGGAGGAGGCUGGUUAUCUGCUGAACAGCACGAAGUGAACAGGACACGUUUGUCAGGUCGUGGACAUCAAUACAAGGAGGGAAUCCAUUCUUAAAUGUUUAAUCAUCUACUUUGGUGAAUCUGUUCAUCGUUUCAUCAAGGAAAUUCAGCAACGUACAUUGCUCAGCCAUCCACGCACAUACUUACAUACUGGAUAAGCCAGGUGAUGGACUGGAGCAAACAAUGGUGUCUUAAUCAGUGACACAGACACCAGGGUUCUCAUUGAGUCCACAGAGGUCCCCCGUAAGGUGUCCUCAACCGCAGCUGUAGGAAUCAAUGCUAUUUGGACUGACAUAUGUGCUAAACCUUGAGUAUCAAAAAGAACUGAAAGUUUUUUCAGGAAGUUUUAAUGGAACUUGACACAAGAAAAAUUACCCCAAAAAUAUGUCGCCUCUGCACUCUGCUGCAUAGUCAAUGACUGACUGACAGCCUCCAUUUCAGUACUUUGAUGAACACAGGAUGGCAGAAAUGCUUUCACCCCAGUCUCCACUACAUUGUAUUAGUAGUUCAGUAGUUGUUUGUUGUUUACUGGAUGUGGCAAUAUCUAUGUUUUGUAUUUGAUUUGCAUUCAUUUCUUCUGCCAAAAAUGUGAAUUCCUGAGAGAAGCAGACCAAUUGGUUUUAGGUAUUUGUUCUUAUUUUUAAUUCUUGUUCUUAUUUGUUCUUGUAUGAUAUA